GAAGUAAUCCUAGGAACUCCCU
rnacentral:miRNA from 1 species